GUACGUAGGGGGCAAGCGUUAUCCGGAUUUACUGGGUGUAAAGGGAGCGUAGGUGGCAAGUCAAGUCAGAUGUGAAAGCCCGGGGCUCAACUCCGGGAUUGCAUUUGAAACUGGUUUGCUAGAGUGCAGGAGAGGUAAGUGGAAUUCCUAGUGUAGCGGUGAAAUGCGUAGAUAUUAGGAGGAACACCAGUGGCGAAGGCGGCUUACUGGACUGUAACUGACACUGAGGCUCGAAGGCGUGGGGAGCAAACAGGAUUAGAUACCCUGGUAGUCCACGCCAUAAACGAUGAAUACUAGAUGUCGGGGAGCAAAAGCUCUUCGGUGCCGGCGCAAACGCAUUAAGUAUUCCACCUGGGGAGUACGUUCGCAAGAAUGAA
rnacentral:rRNA from 1 species